rnacentral:lncRNA from 1 species
GAGGAAGUAGUUAGAUGUCAGGCGAUUAUUGUGUGAACACUUGCAAAAAAUAUACAACCAAUCAAGAUUCACCUUGAUCCGAAAGAUUGAUCAUGCACGCCUUCUAAACCGUGACGGAGGAUACCUUUUUCAUACAAGAAUACGUGACUGACCAAGCUAUAUCAAAUCAGAGGUGGUGAUUGUCUGAUUGCUACACCCGAGGCCAGCACACGCAUCAAUCUCUACGUUCACUUUGUAUACUUUUAAUAAAAAACAAGAGAGAAGGAGGGCCACAAGCAAGAGGAAAAAGCGGAGGCGGAUCCGGCAAAUCGCCUCGACCCGGAAGCAGACUCGGCCUUGCACAGCCACCCCGUGUGCACCGCCGCUUUGCUCGCCUCACCCG